AUUGAACGCUGGCGGCAUGCCUUACACAUGCAAGUCGAACGGUAACAGGUCUUCGGAUGCUGACGAGUGGCGAACGGGUGAGUAAUACAUCGGAACGUGCCUAGUAGUGGGGGAUAACUACUCGAAAGAGUGGCUAAUACCGCAUGAGAUCUACGGAUGAAAGCAGGGGAUCGCACGACCUUGUGCUACUAGAGCGGCCGAUGGCAGAUUAGGUAGUUGGUGGGAUAAAAGCUUACCAAGCCGACGAUCUGUAGCUGGUCUGAGAGGACGAUCAGCCACACGAGGACUGAGAAACGGCCCGGACUCCUGCGGUAGGCAGCAGUGGGGAAUUUUGGACAAUGGGCGCGAGCCUGAUCCAGCAAUGCCGCGUGCAGGAUGAAGGCCUUCGGGUUGUAAACUGCUUUUGUACGGAACGAAAAGCCCCGGGUUAAUACCCUGGGGUCAUGACGGUACCGUAAGAAUAAGCACCGGCUAACUACGUGCCAGCCGCCGCGGUAA
rnacentral:rRNA from 1 species